UACGUAGGUGGCAAGCGUUAUCCGGAAUUAUUGGGCGUAAAGCGCGCGCAGGUGGUUUCUUAAGUCUGAUGUGAAAGCCCACGGCUCAACCGUGGAGGGUCAUUGGAAACUGGGAGACUUGAGUGCAGAAGAGGAAAGUGGAAUUCCAUGUGUAGCGGUGAAAUGCGUAGAGAUAUGGAGGAGCACCAGUGGCGAAGGCGACUUUCUGGUCUGUAACUGACACUGAGGCGCGAAAGCGUGGGGAGCAAACAGG
rnacentral:rRNA from 1 species